rnacentral:lncRNA from 1 species
AGGUGUGUGUGAGCAUGCAGAAGUGCACAGGGCCGCCUGUGAGCAAGUGUGCAUGAGUGCACGAGCAUGCACGAGCAUGUGUGAGCAUGUGUGAGCCUGCAGAGCAUGCACGAGCGUGUGCGAGGAUGCACGAGGCCCGCUGAGGCCGCCCAAGUGCACGGCCCCGUGUGCGAGGCCGCCCGAGCGUGCCCGGCCACCCGCUGCCCCGCUCCGGGCCGCACAAGGGCCACGCGCACGGCCCCGCGCGAGGGCGGCUGCGCCAGCGCCCCCGGCAGAGCGCGGAAACGCGCGGCCCGCGCCCUGCCCUGCGGUUUCGAGGCGCCGAGGAGCAGGAAGCGGCCUCGAAGGCGGCCGCCGCCUUCCUGCCCCCGCCAGCGGGGCGCCCCGGGCCCUCGAGGCUGCGUCAGGGCCCCGGGGCCGCGGCACUUCCUCCCCGGGGCCGCUUCCGCCCGCUGCCGCCUGCCCCCGGCCGCGCUGGGGCUUUGGGCGCCCCGCUCCCCGCUCGGGGCUCCUCCUGGGGCUGGGCCCCGCCAUGGGCAGGAUCUGACCCCGCCGGGGGGGUCCCCGCCGCCCCCAUGUCGCUGGCGCUCAAGGCCCGGCAGAAGGCGAGGCGCAAGGGCGGCGCCAAGGAGCGGGUGUUCGGCUGCGACCUCCUCGAGCAUCUCCAGCAGUCGGGGCAGGAUGUGCCCCAGGUGCUGAGGAGCUGCACUGAGUUCGUGGAGCAGCACGGGGUGGUGGACGGCAUCUACCGCCUGUCGGGGGUCUCCUCCAACAUCCAGCGGCUGCGGUGAGCGGGGCGGGGGGCCGGGGAGGGGCUGGGGAGGGGCCGGGAAGGGGUGGGGAGGGGUUGGGGAGGGGGAGAUGGGGUGGAGAUGGGGGUGGGGGGAGGCAGAGGAGGGAGCGGGAUGGGGCUGGGACCAGAACGGGGCAGGGAGAUGGGGACGGGGACGGACGAGGCAGGACCAGAGGGAAGGAGAUGGGGAGGGGGGCACAGGGGUGGGGUGGGGGUGGGUGAGGACAGCAGCAGGCAGAGGGGAGAUGGGGAUGGGGGCAGGGCCAGAAGGGGUGGAAAUGGGGUGCUGCGUUUCCCCCAGCAUCCCCCACAUCCCUGGUGUCCCUCGAGCCCGGGUGUUUCCAGCGUCUCCAACAUCUCCAUGUCCCCAGGGGUCCCCAAAUCCCGGUGUCCCUGUACUUAUGGCACCCCCAUUGUCCCCAAAUCCCCCUGUCCCCAAAUCCCCAUGUCCCUCUAUUCCUGGUGCCCCCGUUAUCCCCAAAUCCCAGUGUCCCCAAAUCCCCACAUCUCUGUGUCCUCUGCAUUGUCCUGUCCCCAAAUCCCUGCAUCCCUGUACUCCUGGCACCCCCAUUGUCCCCAAAUCCCUAUGUUCCUGUAUUCUUGGCAUCCCCAGUGUCCCUAAUUCCCUAUGUCCCUGCAUCCUCUGUA